rnacentral:lncRNA from 1 species
UACAUCUGUGCUAUUGGUUAUUGCUAACGGUUUUUAGUUGUUUUCGACAUAUAUUUAUUGUUGUUUGAGCGACUUGAGCAUAAAAAUGUCGCGAAAACGUCCUUUGAAUGACCGUGAGCUUGAGAAUUUUGCCGAAAUGGAUGAGAAUGAGUGGGACAGUUUCCUAAAGGAUAAUUCGGAUGAGGACCCGGAAUAUAAAAUGUCUAGUGAACAGACUUCAAGUGAAAGUGAUCAGGAUCAAAUCCAGCCACCCGAAAAAUCACAUUUAGAUCCUGAGUGGGUUGACAUUGCGGACGAGCACAUUGAAGACGAGCUACCAGAAGUACCAGACUUAGACGCAGAGUGGGUUGACAUUGAGGAGGAACCACCACAUUUUGAUUUUUUGGUUAUGAGCAGAAAUCGGUUCAAGUUACUGUUGCGUUUUUUGCAUUUCGCUGACAAUUCGGGAGUGACUAAAGAUCGUUUAUUUAAGAUUAGACCAGUCCUUGAUCAUUUCAACAAAUUAAUGCACUAUGUUCCGGACAAAAACUUAUGCAUUGAUGAAUCAAUGGUCUUAUGGCGUGGCAGGCUUAUUUUUAGACAAUAUGUAAAAAAUAAGAAGCAUAAGUACGGGGUAAAAUUAUAUGAACUAUGCGAAUCUGCUGGCAUGAUUCUAAAAAUAAAAGUAUAUUGCGGGAAAUCAGAAGCUAUCGAGAAUGAUUUGGGACAUGCUGCAAGUGUGGUUCUUCAUUUAAGGGUUAUGUACUCUAUACUUAUAAUGUUUUUAAUUCAGUAGGCUUAACUAAUAACAUGACAGCGAAAAAAACAAUUUCAAUAUUUGUGGCACCUUACGCGGUAAUCGAAAGCGAAAUCCAAAGUAUGUCGUUUCAAAAAAGCUAAAAAAAGGCGAAUGUAUAUGGCAAAGACGCAAAUCAGUAGUUGUUUGCAAGUGGAAGGACAAGCGAGAGGUAUUGACGAUUUCAAAUAUGCACAAAGUACAAAUGAUUUAAAUGCGCAACAGGAACGGAAAAGUUUCUGUGAAACCUAAUAUAAUAAAGGACUACAAUGCAGGAAUAUCAGGUAUCGACCAGUCCGAUCAAAUGCUUAGUUACUAUAGCGCACUAAGAAAAACCAUUAAUUAGAUGGCCGAAAAAGAUUGCAUUGCAUAUUCUCGAAAUAUAUAUACAUAACGCUUACUUGCUGUUUCGUAAAUCGACCGGAAGCAGAAUAAAAUCUUUAAAAUUUAGAGAGAUGUUUGUGUCUACUCUUCUCGGUGAUAAAAGUCCAGCAGCGUACAGCAGCGGGACUUUCACUAUUUGGAAGGUAUACCACCAACCGAAAAAAAACAACGACCUACAAGAGCUUACCGUGUAUGUACUUCGAAUAAACUUCGACGAGAAACACGUUAUUUCUGUCCUGUCUGUGAAGAGAAACCAGCCUUAUGUGUGAAACAUUGCUUUAAGGACUACCACCUAAAGUAAAAAUGACUAAACAAGAAUUUUUAGACAUUUUUUUUUAUAAUUUUUUUUUUUUUAAACUUCAUAAUAUUAUCUUAAUUAUCUGUAAACACUAGCAAUUAAGUUUCCCUAGUUUUAAGGCACAGUUUAUGUCUUUCCGCUUUUUGUUAGAACUAAAAACAUUUUUAAUUUUUUUUUGUGUCACUGCAUUUUGCUUCCUCUGUACUAAACAAGAUGAAAAUAUAAUUUAAAAAUGA